rnacentral:rRNA from 1 species
AGCGAACGCUGGCGGCGGGCUUAACACAUGCAAGUCGAACGGUCCUUCGGGAUAGUGGCGGACGGGUGAGUAACACGUGGGAACGUACCCUUAGGUUCGGAACAACACAGGGAAACUUGUGCUAAUACCGGAUAAGCCCUUCGGGGGAAAGAUUUAUCGCCUUUGGAGCGGCCCGCGUCUGAUUAGCUUGUUGGUGAGGUAAUGGCUCACCAAGGCUACGAUCAGUAGCUGGUCUGAGAGGAUGGCCAGCCACACUGGGACUGAGACUCGGCCCAGACUCCUACGGGAGGCAGCAGUGGGGAAUCUUGCGCAAUGGGCGAAAGCCUGACGCAGCCAUGCCGCGUGGAUGAUGAAGGUCUUAGGAUUGUAAAAUCCUUUCACCGGGGACGAUAAUGACGGUACCCGGAGAAGAAGCCCCGGCUAACUUCGUGCCAGCCGCCGCAGUAA